rnacentral:rRNA from 1 species
CCUACGGGAGGCAGCAGUGAUGAAUAUUGGUCAAUGGACUAGAGUCUGAACCAGCCAAGUAGCGUGAAGGAUGACUGCCCUAUGGGUUGUAAACUUCUUUUAUAAAGGAAUAAAACGAGGCACGUGUGCCUUUUUGCAUGUACUUUAUGAAUAAGGAUCGGCUAACUCCGUGCCAGCAGCCGCGGUAAUACGGAGGAUCCGAGCGUUAUCCGGAUUUAUUGGGUUUAAAGGGAGCGUAGAUGGGUUGUUAAGUCAGUUGUGAAAGUUUGCGGCUCAACCGUAAAAUUGCAAUUGAUACUGGCAGUCUUGAGUACAGUUGAGGUAGGCGGAAUUCGUGGUGUAGCGGUGAAAUGCUUAGAUAUCACGAAGAACCCCGAUUGCGAAGGCAGCUUACCAAACUGUGACUGACAUUGAUGCUCGAAAGUGUGGGUAUCAAACAGGAUUAGAUACCCGUGUAGUC